GAUGAACGCUGGCGGCGUGCCUAAUACAUGCAAGUCGAGCGAACAGACGAGGAGCUUGCUCCUUCGACGUUAGCGGCGGACGGGUGAGUAACACGUAGGUAACCUACCUAUAAGACUGGGAUAACUUCGGGAAACCGGAGCUAAUACCGGAUAAUAUUUCGAACCGCAUGGUUCGAUAGUGAAAGAUGGCUUUGCUAUCACUUAUAGAUGGACCUGCGCCGUAUUAGCUAGUUGGUAAGGUAACGGCUUACCAAGGCAACGAUACGUAGCCGACCUGAGAGGGUGAUCGGCCACACUGGAACUGAAACACGGUCCAGACUCCUACGGGAGGCAGCAGUAGGGAAUCUUCCGCAAUGGGCGAAAGCCUGACGGAGCAACGCCGCGUGAGUGAUGAAGGUCUUCGGAUCGUAAAACUCUGUUAUUAGGGAAGAACAAACGUGUAAGUAACUGUGCACGUCUUGACGGUACCUAAUCAGAAAGCCACGGCUAACUACGUG
rnacentral:rRNA from 1 species